rnacentral:rRNA from 1 species
CACUAUCGUUAACUGAAUACAUAGGUUAACGAGGCGAACCGGGGGAACUGAAACAUCUAAGUACCCCGAGGAAAAGAAAUCAACCGAGAUUCCCCCAGUAGCGGCGAGCGAACGGGGAGCAGCCCAGAGUCUGAAUCAGCUUGUGUGUUAGUGGAACGGUCUGGAAAGUCCGACGGUACAGGGUGAUAGUCCCGUACACCAAAAUGCACAGGCUGUGAACUCGAAGAGUAGGGCGGGACACGUGGUAUCCUGUCUGAAUAUGGGGGGACCAUCCUCCAAGGCUAAAUACUCCUGACUGACCGAUAGUGAACCAGUACCGUGAGGGAAAGGCGAAAAGAACCCCGGCGAGGGGAGUGAAAAAGAACCUGAAACCGUGUACGUACAAGCAGUGGGAGCACCUUCGGGUGUGACUGCGUACCUUUUGUAUAAUGGGUCAGCGACUUAUAUUCUGUAGCAAGGUUAACCGUAUAGGGGAGCCGCAGGGAAACCGAGUCUUAACUGGGCGUUAAGUUGCAGGGUAUAGACCCGAAACCCGGUGAUCUAGCCAUGGGCAGGUUGAAGGUUGGGUAACACUAACUGGAGGACCGAACCGACUAAUGUUGAAAAAUUAGCGGAUGACUUGUGGCUGGGGGUGAAAGGCCAAUCAAACCGGGAGAUAGCUGGUUCUCCCCGAAAGCUAUUUAGGUAGCGCCUCGUGAACUCAUCUUCGGGGGUAGAGCACUGUUUCGGCUAGGGGGUCAUCCCGACUUACCAACCCGAUGCAAACUACGAAUACCGAAGAAUGUUAUCACGGGAGACACACGGCGGGUGCUAACGUCCGUCGUGAAGAGGGAAACAACCCAGACCGCCAGCUAAGGUCCCAAAGUCAUGGUUAAGUGGGAAACGAUGUGGGAAGGCACAGACAGCCAGGAUGUUGGCUUAGAAGCAGCCAUCAUUUAAAGAAAGCGUAAUAGCUCACUGGUCGAGUCGGCCUGCGCGGAAGAUGUAACGGGGCUAAACCAUGCACCGAAGCUGCGGCAGCGACACUAUGUGUUGUUGGGUAGGGGAGCGUUCUGUAAGCCUGCGAAGGUGACCUGUGAGGGUUGCUGGAGGUAUCAGAAGUGCGAAUGCUGACAUAAGUAACGAUAAAGCGGGUGAAAAGCCCGCUCGCCGGAAGACCAAGGGUUCCUGUCCAACGUUAAUCGGGGCAGGGUGAGUCGACCCCUAAGGCGAGGCCGAAAGGCGUAGUCGAUGGGAAACAGGUUAAUAUUCCUGUACUUGGUGUUACUGCGAAGGGGGGACGGAGAAGGCUAUGUUAGCCGGGCGACGGUUGUCCCGGUUUAAGCAUGUAGGCUGAUUGUCCAGGCAAAUCCGGAUAAUCAAGGCUGAGGUGUGAUGACGAGGCACUACGGUGCUGAAGUAACAAAUGCCCUGCUUCCAGGAAAAGCCUCUAAGCAUCAGGUAACAUUAAAUCGUACCCCAAACCGACACAGGUGGUCAGGUAGAGAAUACCAAGGCGCUUGAGAGAACUCGGGUGAAGGAACUAGGCAAAAUGGUGCCGUAACUUCGGGAGAAGGCACGCUGGUGUGUAGGUGAAGUCCCUGCGGAUGGAGCUGAGACCAGUCGAAGAUACCAGCUGGCUGCAACUGUUUAUUAAAAACACAGCACUGUGCAAACACGAAAGUGGACGUAUACGGUGUGACGCCUGCCCGGUGCCGGAAGGUUAAUUGAUGGGGUUAUCCGUAAGGAGAAGCUCUUGAUCGAAGCCCCGGUAAACGGCGGCCGUAACUAUAACGGUCCUAAGGUAGCGAAAUUCCUUGUCGGGUAAGUUCCGACCUGCACGAAUGGCGUAAUGAUGGCCAGGCUGUCUCCACCCGAGACUCAGUGAAAUUGAACUCGCUGUGAAGAUGCAGUGUACCCGCGGCAAGACGGAAAGACCCCGUGAACCUUUACUAUAGCUUGACACUGAACAUUGAGCCUUGAUGUGUAGGAUAGGUGGGAGGCUUUGAAGCGUGGACGCCAGUCUGCGUGGAGCCAACCUUGAAAUACCACCCUUUAAUGUUUGAUGUUCUAACGUUGGCCCCUGACCGGGGUUGCGGACAGUGUCUGGUGGGUAGUUUGACUGGGGCGGUCUCCUCCCAAAGCGUAACGGAGGAGCACGAAGGUUAGCUAAUCCUGGUCGGACAUCAGGAGGUUAGUGCAAUGGCAUAAGCUAGCUUGACUGCGAGCGUGACGGCGCGAGCAGGUGCGAAAGCAGGUCAUAGUGAUCCGGUGGUUCUGAAUGGAAGGGCCAUCGCUCAACGGAUAAAAGGUACUCCGGGGAUAACAGGCUGAUACCGCCCAAGAGUUCAUAUCGACGGCGGUGUUUGGCACCUCGAUGUCGGCUCAUCACAUCCUGGGGCUGAAGUAGGUCCCAAGGGUAUGGCUGUUCGCCAUUUAAAGUGGUACGCGAGCUGGGUUUAGAACGUCGUGAGACAGUUCGGUCCCUAUCUGCCGUGGGCGCUGGAGAAUUGAGGGGGGCUGCUCCUAGUACGAGAGGACCGGAGUGGACGCAUCACUGGUGUUCGGGUUGUCAUGCCAAUGGCACUGCCCGGUAGCUAAAUGCGGAAGAGAUAAGUGCUGAAAGCAUCUAAGCACGAAACUUGCCCCGAGAUGAGUUCUCCCUGAGACUUUAAGUCUCCUGAAGGAACGUUAAAGACGAUGACGUUGAUAGGCCGGGUGUGUAAGCGCAGCGAUGCGUUGAGCUAACCGGUACUAAUGAACCGUGAGGCUUAACCUUACAACGCCGAAG